AACAAAAUGCUCCAGAUGAAAUAAAUCAAAAUUAAAUACUGUCUGCAGUUUAACACUGCCACUAAAUUCCAUCUUUAGUUUGAUUUUUGUGUCCUCUUUAUCAAUUCACUGCUUGAUUGAGAAAAUGAUUGUCUAGCUCAGUUAUACUAUGCCUUGCAUUGACCAAGAGAGGUAUCCCAGUCUCAUGACACUGAUAUCGUAACUGUCAAAUGGAGGUACUUCUGUGAGGCAGAGGGCACAAUUCCAUGCAUGAGCUUGCAAUGCACGUUCUAUGCCAUCAGGGACUCAACAUUCUAGGAUUUAGUUUUCCAGAUUUGUUUCUUUGAUUUAAUGGAAAAGAUGUUUCUAUUUCCCACCCUGCUAUUUUUCUAUUUUUAUAUUGAGACCAGAGUUAAUUGGUACAUCUUUUUGUUCCCAUCAGCUUUUUCCCCUCUUGGGGUCCUGUUGUGUGCACUGGCAGCGUAGCUCAGAGGAGUUGCCCCUUGGAAAGAAUUACAGUGGAGGACGGUCCUUCCCCACAUGCAUGCAAGUCCUCCAACACCAUGCAUGUCCAACAGUGAUCUUGGUGGCGUUAUGGACCAGAAAGGAAAAGCCAUAGUAAGAAACAGCUGUUUGGCUUGAAGAUGUGUUGGUUUGCUUAUGUUUGUAACUUGCUUGCUUUUUUGCUUUGGGUUUUCAAGAUGCUGGUGCUAUUGGUGACAAUGGCAAGGACUCCUAUGUCUUGUGAACCACAACCAGCUCCUGGCAUUCUCAAGUUGGUGGCAAGAUGCAUGUCAUGUGCAUGGGGACUGCAGAGGCCCCAUGUGGAUGGAUCCUUGAUGCUUCUCAGAUAAGACAAAACUACUUAGGAAGCAAAAUUGUGAUGGGAGUAAUGGGUCACAUAAAGAGAAAUAUAUAUUUUUUAUUUAUAGUUUCCUCUUGGUUUAAUUUACUUUUUCAUUAUAGGAUUAUAGCGCUAGAUAAGACAUGAUCUACAAACCAAACCACAAGCCACUUAGAGACAUCAGGACGAUGAAAAUCAAUUUUCUGCUAAUUUGUUGUUGUUGUUCUGACAGAUGUGAUUUAUCUCUGGCAAAAAAAAAAAAAAAAAAAA
rnacentral:lncRNA from 1 species